rnacentral:rRNA from 1 species
GAUGGAGGGGGAUAACUACUGGAAACGGUAGCUAAUACCGCAUAACGUCGCAAGACCAAAGAGGGGGACCUUAGGGCCUCUUGCCAUCGGAUGUGCCCAGAUGGGAUUAGCUAGUAGGUGGGGUAAUGGCUCACCUAGGCGACGAUCCCUAGCUGGUCUGAGAGGAUGACCAGCCACACUGGAACUGAGACACGGUCCAGACUC